GAUGAACGCUGGCGGCGUGCCUAAUACAUGCAAGUCGAGCGGACAGACGAGGAUCUUGCUCGGCUGACGUUAGCGGCGGGCGGGUGAUUCACACGAGUAUAACCUACCGAGAGGACUGAGGUCACUUCGGGAGACCUGAUCUAAUACCCGAUAAGAUAUUGAACCUCGUGGUUCUUUGGUGAAAGACGUUUUUGCUGUCCCUUGUUCGGGGUUCCGCGCCGAUGUGGCUGGUUGGUACGGUAACGGCUUACCAAGGCGACGAUGGGUAGCCGACCUGGGAGGGGGAUCGGCCCCACUGAAACUGAGCCACGGCCCAGCCCCCGAGGGGAGGCAGCAGUAGGGAAUCUGCCGAACUGGGCGAAAGCCUAUCGGAGCAACGCCGCGUGAGUGAUGAAGGUCUCCGGAUCGUAAAACUGUGUUAUUGGGGAAAAGCGAAUGUGUAAGUAACUAUGCAGGUUUGACCGGAACAUAAGAAGAAGGACCGGCUAAAUUCGGG
rnacentral:rRNA from 1 species